UACGGGAGGCAGCAGUGGGGAAUAUUGCACAAUGGGCGAAAGCCUGAUGCAGCUAUGCCGCGUGUAUGAAGAAGGCCUUAGGGUUGUAAAGUACUUUCAUCGGGGAGGAAAAAACAAAACUAAUAAUUUUAUUUCUUGACGUUACCCGAAAAAGAAGCACCGGCUAACUCCGUGCCAGCAGCCGCGGUAAUACGGAGGGUGCUAGCGUUAAUCAGAAUUACUGGGCGUAAAGAGCACGUAGGUGGUUUUUUAAAGUCAGAUGUGAAAUCCCUGGGCUUUAACCUAGGAACUGCAUUUUGAAACUGAAAUACUAGAGUAUCGUAGAGGGAGGUAGAAUUCUAGGUGUAGCGGUGAAAUGCGUAGAUAUCUGGAGGAAUACCUGUGGCGAAAGCGGCCUCCUAAACGAAUACUGACACUGAGGGUGCGAAAGCGUGGGGAGCAAACAGGGAUUAGAUACCCG
rnacentral:rRNA from 1 species